CCUACGGGAGGCAGCAGUGAGGAAUAUUGGUCAAUGGCCGGGAGGCUGAACCAGCCAAGUCGCGUGAGGGAAGACGGCCCUACGGGUUGUAAACCUCUUUUGUCAGGGAGCAAGGUGCAGGUCGGGACCUGCUGCGAGAGUACCUGAAGAAAAAGCAUCGGCAAAUCCAGUGCCAGCAGCCGCGGUACUACGGAGGAUGCGAGCGUUAUCCGGAUUGAGUGGGGUGAAAGGGUGCGCAGGCGGAGGCACAAGUCAGCGGUAAAAUCGCGGGGCGCAACCCCGCUCCGCCGUUGAAACUGUGACCCUUGAGUGCGCGAAGGGUAGGCAGAAUGCGUGGUGUAGCGGUGAAAUGCAUAGAUAUCACGCAGAACACCGAUCGCGAAGGCAGCCUACCGGCGCGAAACUGACGCUCAUGUGCGAAAGCGUGGGUAGCGAACAGGAUUAGAUACCCCAGUAGUC
rnacentral:rRNA from 1 species